CAGCCACACCAUGGCGGGCUACCCAGUAGCGAGGGGAUGGAUGCUGAUCCAGGCAACGGGGUGGACGCACCUCGAAACAUGACGGUAGGCAAAAGACGUCCGAGGCAAAAGAUGGUACACUGUGUGACUCCAUUAGUGGGAAGUCCAAGAACAGGCAAAUGAAGCCAUAAGGCCAGGCCCUCAUGAACUCUCAGCUUUGUUCCCUCUGGCCCUGAGCUAGUGCUUUUGAAUCAAAGUUUCUCCAAACGUUAAUUGAGGUAAGACUUUCUUUGCAUAUUUUGUUAGUAUAUUUAGAGGAUGAGCUUUGAAUACAUAUAUUUAUUCAAAAACACAUAUUGGGCUGAGCCCUGCAGAUACCAAGAUAUGAAGACCUGACUCAUACCCCGAAGGAGCCAUGCGGUGCUGGGCCUGACAGGGAAGUCGGCUCACUCUGUCUCUCACGUGAUAUGGUCAUUGUCCUAAUUUUUAUAUGGUGCAAAUUCAUUGUAGAAAAAAAAUUUCAAUGCACAAAAGCACAAGAAGAAAACUACAGGUGCCGAUUCAAUGCAUGACGUUCUGUCAUAGGAAGACACUAUAAUUUAUUAAGCUAAAUCUGUGCUGAUGAAAAUUUGUUUGCAGCAUCUGUAAAAUUGUGUUUGCGUGUGCAUGCACACGUUUCUCUGGCAAGAGGAGGCAGAGGCCCCAUUGUGUUGCUUUGUUUGCAAUUCCUCUCACAAGUGCAUGCUUUUCACACACUUUAAAGCGCCUCUUAAGGAAUGAGACACUGAUUUCUUCCCUUCGUGUGCCACCCCAUGGUGCUAGCACAUGCUGGGUGGGGGUGCUCUUCAGGGUGCCCUGGGAGGAAUGGGCCGGGUGGGCUCUGAGAGCCUUCACAGCACAGGCGUUGGGUGGGAGAGCGCUGGGCAGAGGCGCCAGCAGGACCCGGCUGCCAAAUGCGAGAGGCAGCCCAGUGCUGGGCACACGUGGGCCGUUGUCAGGCGGCAAUACACCCUCCGGGUCGGUGAUUCCCUUGGGCAGGAAAAUGCAUUUUGAAAAAUCUAUCCAACAAUUAUACUUUUCUAUCUAGAAACAUAAGCAACUCUUGGUUUAAUAAUAAAAACUAGAGUGCAUACAUCUCAACAAAUCUUAGCCCAGGCCAGGCGGCGCCCUGGCCCUGCAACCCCACGGUGGGCCCGUGGGCCAUGCCCCUCGCACUCCGUCAGCCUCUCUGAAUGGGGGUCACGAAGCAGCCACAUCACACAAAGUCCGCUAGUCCUCUGGCUAUGCGGGCAGCAGAACUGGGUGUGCUGGGCUGGGUCGCAGCAUCAGAUCCCAGCCCAGCAGGCAGAGGGCAAGGCCCAGGCAGGUGCUGGCACCAGACCAAGAGCGGGGCACCCUCAGAACACGGUCGGCACUGUCCAUUCCC
rnacentral:lncRNA from 1 species